UUAGAGUAAAGUAACAGUUACUUCCAUGUUGAAAAAAGCAUGUUACUUCAUAAUAAGACUGAGGUCAACUUGUCUGAGACAAGUAACCUCAACAGUGACAAAUUUCUACCAUUAGGAGGCGCCCUUGCGCGUAUUUCUGCAGGGAAGAAGAAGAAGAAGAAGAAGUGGGAGCAUGCAAGGAAGACGUUAACGUUACUGUGCUGGAGUGAUUUGAAUUUUCGCCCUCUCAGUUUGCUCUUCCGAAGAAUCGUUGUUGAAAGCAUUCAGAAGAUAAAAAAUAAACAUCAGACCUUUUCCUUUCGGAAGACUUUGUGCUCAUCUCGGCUUGUCCCCUGUACUCCGAAAUCUGGUGCUAUUAGCUGAUGCUACCAACAGGUUUCCGAUGGGGGUGCCUCGGGCAUCGGCCUAUCCAUGCAAAUAAAUCACUGGUUUACACCAUUUACGGUUACUGAUGGUGAGAACGUGUGGGCACAAGUCUCCUUUGGGCUGCUGACGGUCAGUGAUGAUGACACACCGGUUGAUCUAACUCUUAUCCACCUGGAGCCAGUGUCUACAGCCAUCAUCAUUGAGGGGAGGCUGGUAAUGGAUGGUCUCAAAAGUUUGCCUGAGGCACUCUGCAUCUUG